rnacentral:rRNA from 1 species
CUACAUGAAGCUGGAGAUACUAGAAAUGGCAGAACAGAAUGCUGCGGUAAGUGCGUUACCGGAGCUUGUACAGACGGACCGACAGACCAAGGGGGUUGGAGAAGCCCGAAGCCGAUUAUCUAACGUUGUGGAAGAAGUCGUCGAAGGUGGAAGCAAUAACUGGGGUGAAGUCGUAACAAGGUAGCCGUAUCGAAAGGUGCGGCUGGAUCACCUCCUUU